rnacentral:piRNA from 1 species
UGAGUUUCUGGAAAGAACAACGGUCC